UACGUAGGGGGCAAGCGUUGUCCGGAUUCAUUGGGCGUAAAGAGCAUGUAGGCGGCCAGGUAGGUCGGUUGUGAAAACUGGAGGCUCAACCUUCAGAGGUCGACCGAAACCAUCUGGCUAGAGUCCGGGAGAGGAGAGUGGAAUUCCUGGUGUAGCGGUGAAAUGCGCAGAUAUCAGGAAGAACACCCGUGGCGAAAGCGGCUCUCUGGAACGGUACUGACGCUGAGACGCGAAAGCGUGGGGAGCGAACAGG
rnacentral:rRNA from 1 species